AUCGCUUCUCGGCCUUUUGGCUAAGAUCAAGUAUAGUUACACAAACAAACUUUGAAAAGUCUGGUAGCAAUAUAUUCAAACUCAACAUUUCAAUGUUUAUGAAUAUUACUAUUCUGUUAUAUAUUCAUAUUGUAACAUCUGGAAAAUGAACA
rnacentral:snRNA from 1 species